rnacentral:lncRNA from 1 species
AAAUUACAAAGCCAAAAACCAAACCAUGCCCUUCCUGUCAGGCUCCAAACACCUGCAACAGGAAGACAUGCAGUGGAUGCCUGGGCAGCCUGAACGUAAAGGAGGGAUUGAAAAAAAAAAAAACAAGAACAGCAACUGGGCUGCAUCUGUUAAAAAAAAAAACAGAAAUGCGAGCAGGGUGGUUAAUUCAGCCCAGUUAUCAGUAAGGUCAGAUCUAAUAAGUGGUUCUUUAUUAAUCACAGUUGUCAAUGUUUUCUUGUAUAUCAUGAAGUAAGAAACUAACAAGACAUGUAUAUACACAUAACAUAUUUAUUUAUAAAAGAGCAUAAAUAAAAAAGUUAUUCACAUCAGAAUAACAUAAUCACACUAAAGACAUCAAACUAGAAAAAACUAUUUUUAUUUAAGCUACUUCUGAUUUUUAAUUUAAUCGGCUAUUAACAGAGAGACAAAACAUUUCAAGAUGGAUUUUAUCAUUAAUUUACAGGUUUGGUUCCAUAAUUACUUUUUAACUAUUUACAACAAUAAAACACCAAAGAUGUGACACUUAAAGGUUUGUUAUACAUCAGUUUGCUUACAUGAAAGACUGGCUGCAUAUGUUUUUCUUUGUUGUUCUUGCAGGUUUCAAAACUACACGCCCUGGGCUACCAGCUAAUUCUGUUUCUUGGACAGUUUGACCGAAAGGGCCGUAUAGUAGGGGACGUGAUCACAUAGAGCCAGCGGAUGGUGCUGCACGUGACAUCCUCAUGAAGAUGAGGAAACUUUAUGAACACCUUCUGAGAAAAUUACAAGCUUCACCUCCUGCUAAAAGUUCUACACCAGCAGCUGGACCAUCCUCUGCUGACAGUGUCGAUGCUGGACCAGUCCCAGACCCAGAGGCUCUAAACGAGGAAUUUAUUCUUCAUUUAGAGCCUGAACCAACAUCUUCCCUCUGUCAGCCUCCUGUAUCCUCCUCUUCAUCUCUGCUUCCUCCUGCAUCCUCCUCUUCAUCUCUGCUUCCUCCUGCAUCCUCCUCUCCAUCUCUGCUUUUUCCUGCAUCCUCCUCUCCGUCUCUGCUUCCUCCUGCAUCCUCCUCUCCAUCUCUGCUUCCUCCUGCAUCCUCCUCUCCGUCUCUGCUUCCUCCUGCAUCCUCCUCUUCAUCUCCGCUUCCUACAUUUCCCUCAAUUUCUACGGCGUACACCUCGGAUGUCCCAAACAAAAAAAGGACAAGGAAAGAAUGCCGAAAACACCGUACACAGAAGAUUUUCAAAUAUGAAGAGAUAGUAGACAGGAGAGUUGUAAAUGAAAAAGAAGAAGUUAAAGUCAAGUGGAAGCCCUGCUCGAUAUGGUAUGUAGUAACAACUUUGUUGGACCGGAACAGACAUUUAUAUUGUUGAUAAAUAGUUAUCACCUCAGUUUGAAUUCAUGUAUUUGGACUAAAGUAAAUUGGGAGCUUUUAGCUUUUAGCUGAGGAGCUUGAUAGCAGUCCACCUCCAAAGUUCAUUAUGAGUUUUGGAGGUGGACAUGGUCAACACUUUUAAGAGUAGGCAUAAGACUUUACUUCUUUAUAGAGCUUAUAGUUAGGGCUGGUUCAGGUCAGCCUUUAGUUAUGCUGUCAUAGGACCAGACUGCUGUGGGUUAGUGUCCCCCCCCCCUCUCUCUCUCCUCUGUCUGUCUGUCUCUUUCAGGGUUAUGCAGGCUCAGUAUUGGUUGAAGAUGCAGUCACAUCUCCUUUUACUAAAACUCUCCCCUCUCCCUCACCAUCUGUAAGCAUACAUGUCUCAGUAAUGCAGUUCAUGCAUGUUACUAACUAAACUUCUUCCCUGGAGUUUCUGUGCUCUCUCAUCCAGCAGGUUCCGAUGGAUCGUGGCUGCUGCUGUGGUCCUGCUUGACAUCUACUACAUAUAUUAUUACUCUCUGACUUGAUUUGAUUAAUUUAUAUUACAAUGAAGGUGUAUAAAGCAUGACAUGAAUAUAGAAGAUAUUUCAUCCUAAAAAUUGUCAUAUGUCACAACCUAAAUUAUCCUAUUUUGUGUGUUGUUGUCGUUGUUGUUUGUUAUGUUUUUCUCCUGACAGUGGCAAAGUGUGGGAUGACACAUGAGAAUCUGCGCAGUUUUUCACACAGUAAACCAGAUCCCUGUGUGCGAUUGCACAGUUCAGUUUGUAGUUCAG